rnacentral:lncRNA from 1 species
GGCAUACUUAAAUAGUUUAGGAACCUAGAUGUGUAAUUUUAUAGUUUAGGGACUUAGAUGAAAAUUGUGCAAUAGUUUGGGGAUCACUAGUGUAAUUACUCAGUACUCUUUCCGUCCUGUAAUCUCUCCUACUUAAAACAUGUAUCCAGGACCCGUCUACCAAACUCUCAUGGUGAAGCCUCCUCAGCCCGCGCCUCACUCCUUGCCCCUCCCCAAUCAGAGCCUCUAUCCUCCACUCAUGCCUGCCCUCCAAUCCUCCCCACGCAUCCAGACUCCAUCCCCUCCUCUCCCCACGC